rnacentral:rRNA from 1 species
CCUACGGGAGGCUGCAGUGAGGAAUAUUGGUCAAUGGCCGGAAGGCUGAACCAGCCAUGCCGCGUGAAGGUCAGUGCCCUAUGGGCGUUAAACUUCUUUUAUCAGGGACGAAACAAAUGACGGUACCUGAUGAAUAAGCCACGGCUAACUACGUGCCAGCAGCCGCGGUAAUACGUAGGUGGCAAGCGUUAUCCGGAUUUACUGGGUGUAAAGGGCGUGUAGGCGGGAGAGCAAGUCAGACGUGAAAUUCCAGGGCUCAACCCUGGAACUGCGUUUGAAACUGUUCUUCUUGAGUGAUGGAGAGGCAGGCGGAAUUCCGUGUGUAGCGGUGAAAUGCGUAGAUAUACGGAGGAACACCAGUGGCGAAGGCGGCCUGCUGGACAUUAACUGACGCUGAGGCGCGAAAGCGUGGGGAGCAAACAGGAUUAGAUACCCGUGUAGUC